ACUAAUGUUGAAAAAUUAGCGGAUGACCUGUGGCUGGGGGUGAAAGGCCAAUCAAACCGGGAGAUAGCUGGUUCUCCCCGAAAGCUAUUUAGGUAGCGCCUCGUGAACUCAUCUCCGGGGGUAGAGCACUGUUUCGGCUAGGGGGCCAUCCCGGCUUACCAACCCGAUGCAAACUGCGAAUACCGGAGAAUGUUAUCACGGGAGACACACGGCGGGUGCUAACGUCCGUCGUGAAGAGGGAAACAACCCAGACCGCCAGCUAAGGUCCCAAAGUCAUGGUUAAGUGGGAAACGAUGUGGGAAGGCCCAGACAGCCAGGAUGUUGGCUUAGAAGCAGCCAUCAUUUAAAGAAAGCGUAAUAGCUCACUGGUCGAGUCGGCCUGCGCGGAAGAUGUAACGGGGCUAAACCAU
rnacentral:rRNA from 1 species